AUUGAACGCUGGCGGCAUGCCUUACACAUGCAAGUCGAACGGUAACGCGGGGCAACCUGGCGACGAGUGGCGAACGGGUGAGUAAUACAUCGGAACGUGCCCAGUAGUGGGGGAUAGCCCGGCGAAAGCCGGAUUAAUACCGCAUACGACCUACGGGUGAAAGCGGGGGAUCGCAAGACCUCGCGCUAUUGGAGCGGCCGAUGUCAGAUUAGCUAGUUGGUGGGGUAAAGGCCUACCAAGGCGACGAUCUGUAGCUGGUCUGAGAGGACGACCAGCCCCACUGGGACUGAGACACGGCCCAGACUCCUACGGGAGGCAGCAGUGGGGAAUUUUGGACAAUGGGGGCAACCCUGAUCCAGCCAUGCCGCGUGCGGGAAGAAGGCCUUCGGGUUGUAAACCGCUUUUGUCGGGGAAGAAACGGUCUGCGCUAAUACCGCGGGCUAAUGACGGUACCCGAAGAAUAAGCACCGGCUAACUACGUGCCAGCCGCCGCAAUAACAC
rnacentral:rRNA from 1 species